rnacentral:rRNA from 1 species
GCGUUGUCCGGAAUUAUUGGGCGUAAAGAGCGUGUAGGCGGCUCGGUAAGUCUGCUGUGAAAGUCCAGGGCUCAACCCUGGAAUGCCGGUGGAUACUGUCGGGCUAGAGUGCGGAAGAGGCGAGUGGAAUUCCUGGUGUAGCGGUGAAAUGCGCAGAUAUCAGGAGGAACACCAAUUGCGAAGGCAGCUCGCUGGGACGUUACUGACGCUGAGACGCGAAAGCGUG